rnacentral:rRNA from 1 species
UUUUCGCUAAUUGAGAGGGAUAAGUCGUAUUAGUUAGUUGGUAGGGUAAUGGCCUACCAAGACAAUGAUGCGUAGCCGGCCUGAGAGGGUGAUCGGCCACAAGGGAACUGAAACACGGUCCCUACUCCUAUGGGAGGCAGAAGUGGGGAAUUUAUGGCAAUGGACGAAAGUCUGACCAAGCAAUACUACGUGAAGGAGGAAGGUCUGCGGAUUGUAAACUUCUAUGUGUAUGUAGAGAUACUUACACUGAAAAAGUCACGACUAACUAUGUGCCAGCAGUCGCGGUAAGACAUAGGUGGCGAACGUUAUCCGGAAUUAUUGGGCGUAAAGGGUGCGUAGAUGGUUUGAAAAGUUAGCGGUGGGGAAUCGAGGCUCAACCUCGUGGAAGUCGCUAAUACUAUCAAACUAGAGUGCAGGAGAGGUUAACGGAACUCAAUGUGGAGCGGUAAAAUGCGUAGAUAUAUUGAAGAACACCAAUAACGGCGAAGGCAGUUAACUAUUCUGUUACUGACGUUGAGGCACGAAAGCGUGGGGAGCAAAAAGGAUUAGAUACCCUUGUAGUCCACGCCCUAAACGAUGAGUGCUAGAUAUUGGAAUUUGAUUUUCAGUGUCGCUAGGUAACCCGGUAAGCACUCCGCCUGGGUAGUACGCUCGCAAGAGUGAAACUCAAAGGAAUUGACGGGGACUCGCACAAGCAGUGGAGCAUGUGGUUUAAUCCGAUACAACGCGUAGAACCUUACCAAGGCUUGACAUGUAAGGUAGCAAUACUAAACUAGAGAAACCUAGUUGAAUUACACAGGUGCUGCAUGGCCGUCGUCAGUUCGUGCCGUGAGGUGUAUGGUUAAGUCCGAUAACGAACGUAACCCUUGUACUUAGUUACCAGCAUUUAGUUGGGGACUCUAAGUAGACUGCAAGGUAUGCUUUUGCAUACCUGAACUGAGUAAUCAGGAGGAAGGAAAGGAUGACGUCUGGUCGUCAUGGCCCUAAUGCCUUGGGCGACACACGUGCUACAAUGGUUAGGACAAAGGGUUGCCAACCCGCGAGGGGGAGCUAAUCCCAAAAAACUAACCUCAGUUCGGAUUGGAGGCUGAAACUCGCCUCCAUGAAGUUGGAAUUGCUAGUAAUCGCAAAUCAGCCAUGUUGCGGUGAAUACGUUCUCGAGUCUUGUACACACCGCCCGUCAAGUCACGAAAGUCGGUAAUGCCUGAAACCAACUGACUAACCGCAAGGAAGCAGUUAGCUAGGGUAGGAUUGGCGAUUGGGGCUAAGUCGUAACAAGGUA